GAUGAACGCUGGCGGCGUGCCUAACACAUGCAAGUCGAACGGAGCUGCUUUGAUGAAGUUUUCGGAUGGAUUUAAAACAGCUUAGUGGCGGACGGGUGAGUAACGCGUGGGUAACCUGCCUCACACUGGGGGAUAACAGUUAGAAAUAGCUGCUAAUACCGCAUAAGCGCACGGUUCCGCAUGGAACAGUGUGAAAAAACUCCGGUGGUGUGAGAUGGACCCGCGUCUGAUUAGCCAGUUGGCGGGGUAACGGCCCACCAAAGCGACGAGUCAGUAGCCGGCCUGAGAGGGUGAACGGCCACAUUGGGACUGAGACACGGCCC
rnacentral:rRNA from 1 species